GGGGACGUAGUGACAAAGUACAACAUAGAGGGCCACGAGUAAUGUUUAGAUACACCAAAUUGUGGUGACCAUAUAAGAAACACUGCAGAGCUGGCAAUAGGAAGUAUUACAGCCAUCAUAGACAAGGUAGAAGUUAACCUACUAGCCCAGGAGGGGAGGCACAGCCCCAGUGGUUGCAGGAAAAGGUCAGGGAGCUUGGCCCAAGGCCAUGGGACAGAAUAAACCAAGUCUGCUGAGGAGAAGUCCCGGGUCUCAGAGCUAUUGGCCAAACAGCACCACGAAGAGCUAUUUAUUAGCUCGUGGCUCCCACAAGGAGAGAGUUACAAGAAACCUGCUAGUAAAGGAGAAGGCAGUGUGGAUGGGAUCCCAGUUUGGUACAGGCCCAUAAUGCUGACAGAGUGGAAGGGGAGGGUACUGCUGGUCAGCUGGGCUUGAACGAACAGGGUGCCCCACAGAUGCCAAGUGAGUGACCCCAACAAGACAAUGAAAUGAGAAUUGGCACAAACUUCCUAAGCUCCGUGUAUGUGGUGAGACUGGCUUGGGACCAGAGAGCUGAGAAUAUGCCGAGUUCAUGGACGAGAUGGUGAAGGUCGCACCAGCUUCUGAGGAAGAGGUAGACUUACCCGGUAAGGCAAGGAAUCAUGAAACGUGUUCCCAGGUAGCUCUGAGCUGAUGCUGCACCUCUCCCACCCCCCAAUUCCCAACCCCUAGAGACCAAGUAUCAGGUGGCCAAGGACGGACAGACAUCUUUGCUUUAAAGGUACCCCUUUCUUUGAAAGCUGGUGCUAUUUGAAAGGCUAUUCAGUUUUAAGCAAAUAAUGGUGUGGAUCUCCUGGUGAAAUUCGUGUUUGACAAUGUUGAGAACCCAUUCGGCAAAUGUUCUAAUGUCAAAGUACUAAAACAGUGGGUGUGGGAGAAGCAGUGUCCAUCUGUCCUGUCCCGAGCACAAGGAGAGCCACACCAUCUAGAGUCAGGGCUGUGAGAGUGCCUGAUAGAUCACGACUGAAGCCACCUGCCUGUGCCAUCCACACCCUUUUGGGAGUCACUGUCCUUCCUUCUCCUGAAAAGAAAACAACAUGCUUGUUUUCUAUUAAAACUGGAUCCUCUCCUAACCAUUUCCACUGCGUGUUGGAAGCCUUCUUGCUCCACAGUUUGAUGGGACCCUUGGAGUGCAAGACUUUUCCAAGUCCCAUGUUGCAGGCUUCACCGCAGCGCUAGACUCCACUUUCUCCUUAGAGUUAUUGUAUGUCGGCUCCUUCAGCACUCAAGCUUCUGACUGGUCAGUCUCAGUGUCGCUGGACAUCAUUAAAGAGGGUUUUGCCAGGUCUUCUAACAGUGGCUCCCAUGCUUUGGCCAUUGAACAUCCCAUUCCACAGGUCCUUUCAAAAGGCUGGUCUUUUUGACUGCUGUAUCCUGUAGCUGCAGAGCCUGCCCCUGCUCCUAAUUGUUGGUUCCAGCACCAAAGAUCCUUUGGAUGGAAAGGAUAUUCUUUUCAAACCUGCAUCUCAAAUUUCUUGUGGGUGUCCUAGGAGAUCCUUUUCAGGGGAGGAAUGGCCCAUUCAGAACCUGCCUCUGCAGCCAUUGGGGUCAGCACUGGGACCCUCAGAUGUUCAUCUGUGUUUGUCCUUUCGAAGAGACCACUGUGAAUGUUGCAGCCUCAAGUCCCUGGAGGAUGAACUUGUAGGACCCCAGAGGUCCUACUGAGAGGGAACUCCCCCCACCCUACAAGUUUCGUUUGAGUCACUGGUGGCCAUCUUAGGAGCCGUUUCCUAGGAAAGAAAGAAUGCCCGAUAGGGAUUUCCUUAACUCUCUCAACUAAGGCCCCUUCUGUACCCUCAGAUCAAUCAUUUUGAUUUAUUCUAAAGAAUUUGGCUACAGUUAGUCCUCAGACACAAGGUUAUUGAUAUGUUGUUGCCUUUUCUUUGGUUCACAAUUUGAUCAGGUCUAGUUUUUCUUGCUCCUUUCGGUCAGUCCGGUCAGUCCCGGGCCCAUAUCUUCCGUCCAGAAACUGAGAGGGCCCCCCAGUAACCGCUGCUGUACCCGUGAAGGAGCUUAAGUGAGCGCCAACGGUGAAACGCUAGCUCGUGGGAUGGGGGUGGGGCGUAGGAAGGAUGGGGACAGGUAGGGCACGCAGGAUUGGGCGGAGCAGAUGGAGAAUUCCCAGUUGUGUAAAUUAGCAUCUGAAGUCUAAAGGUGCAGGCUAGUGAGUCUGGGCUGAGCAGCUACUUUGAAGCCUUUAGGGCUCAGACUUGAGCGCUCUGGCAGUUGAAGCUUGGUGAUUACUAUCUGUGGAGGAGGCCAACACCAGCCACGCCGGGUCGCUGCAGCAGGCAGCCAAGCCGGGGCGCUGCAGCAGGCAGUGUCCAGCGUUGUCCUAAGUGGAAGAUGCUCCCUGUCUGCUCGGGAAUUGGUAGAGUACUUUGCAAACUCCUCUGGUACAAAUCCCGAGAUUAUCGCCCACAAGCACUUGGAUAGGAAUGGGUGGCACUGUCACAGGCAGCUCCAUCCUCCUACAGUGUGAGAGAGCAGCUGCUCACAGGUCAUGGCCAAGAGGGUGGAUUGUACCGGAAAGGACAAUUAAAAAUGCCAGGAAGAGUGCACAUAUAAGCUGCUAUGCCUGGCUUGGAAAGAGGCUCGGGUUGCUCUCCUAAGCAAUGAACUUACUAUGUACAUUUU
rnacentral:lncRNA from 1 species